rnacentral:lncRNA from 1 species
GGGGGGUACAUUAUUUCUUUGUUCAGAAGAAAAGCAAAAACAAAAGACAAUGGAGAUAUUACUUAACAAAAAUACAAAGGGAGUGGUCCAAUUUGGUGGUAGUUGGUGAAAAUGCAAUUGAAAGGUAAGGUACUAGAGAGAGAAGAAAUGAACCACUUGGGACAAACUCAUAGGGUUGGGGGGGUAUUCAAUAUCAAUCAACUGAUCCGACGGCAGAUAGUGAUUCCAUCACCAACCGGGAGCAUGCAAAUCUCAAUCCUAGGGUCAGCAGCAAGAGCCUUGUUAAGCUCAAGAACAAAGUCCCUGUAGUAACGAACGUACUUCCUCAUCGGUGCAUCAGGAGGAGCCACGACAGAACCGUUCCACAGAGUGUUGUCGUAGCCAAUCACUCCACCAACUUUCACAAGAUCAAUCAAACGCUUGUGGUAGUUGAUAUAGUUGUCCUUGUCAGCAUCAACGAAAAUAAAGUCAUAUGUUCCAUGGUUCUUCUCCUGCACCCAACCACACACAAUCAUAAAUUAUUUUCUUCCUUGUAUGAAAAAGGAAACAAAUCUGUUUUCACAAUAAAAAAAUCUCAUCAAAAUUAUUAAAAAUCAAGAUACGGUUCUGGGUUGGUUCGAUUCCAAAUGUUUUGUACCUAUAAAAUAUUAAGAUAAGAAUGCUUACGUCAGCAACAAGUUGAUCAAGAACAGGUAGAGCAGGGCCUUCCCUGAAGUCGAUCUUGUGGGCAACGCCGGCUUUCUCGAUGAUCGGCAAACCCAAUUCGUAAUUCUCUCUGUUAACAUCCAUAGCCAGAAUCUGAGGGUGAAACAGAACAAAGNNNNNNNNNNNNNNNNNNNNNNNNNNNNNNNNNNNNNNNNNNNNNNNNNNNNNNNNNNNNNNNNNNNNNNNNNNNNNNNNNNNNNNNNNNNNNNNNNNNNNNNNNNNNNNNNNNNNNNNNNNNNNNNNNNNNNNNNNNNNNNNNNNNNNNNNNNNNNNNNNNNNNNNNNNNNNNNNNNNNNNNNNNNNNNNNNNNNNNNNNNNNNNNNNNNNNNNNNNNNNNNNNNNNNNNNNNNNNNNNNNNNNNNNNNNNNNNNNNNNNNNNNNNNNNNNNNNNNNNNNNNNNNUUUUUUUAAAAAAAUUAAUAUUUUUUACAUUCCGAGGAAAUUAAUUAUAUUUUUCACUUGAUCGAUCGAUGCGUUUUUGAACAAAAAAGCAUCGAUCGAUGCGUUUUUUAAAAAACGUUCGGGCUAUACCGAGGGACAGCUCCCUCGGAAAAUUCCGAGGGAGCUGUGCCUCGGUAUAUUCCGAGGGACCAGUUCCCUCGGAAUAUACCGAGGGAAAAGUUCCUCGGAAUAAACCGAGGAAAAGGUCCGUCGGUAUACUCCUAUCGAUCGAUGUAUAUAUGUCCAAACACGCAUCGAUCGAUGAACUUCUGAGGAAUUAUACCGACGAAAAGAACCUCUCAACUAUCUAUAGCUUACAAAAGCAAACAACGAGAAAGAAACACAGCAAUCGAGAAGAAAUCAAAUCUAUUUUUAAUCAAAGAAGAAGAAGCUAUGGGUCUCUCUAAGGCACGCAAGCUACUCUUAGUGCUCGUGAUCACUGCCUACUUCUUUUCCGGGACUGCUCAUGCAUGGAGCUGGAACUGGGGUUCUGGACAAUCCGGUUCGAGCUGGGGAUGGGGUUGGGGCUCCGACAAUAACUCUGGCUCAGGUUCAGGUGGUGGUUCAAGCUGGGGUUGGGGAUGGAGCUCGAACGGAACAGAUACAAACUGGGGUUGGGGAAGCAGCUCUGGCUCAAGUGGCACCGGGUCUACACAUAAAAGCUACCACAACCACACGGCCCCAUCAAACCACUCGAACGGCAGUGGUAGUAUUGGCUCUACACACAACAACCACACGGCUCAAGUAUCGCCUAGAAGAAAGAUUGAGGUUACUGUGUGGAAGAACGGAUUCGAUUACCAAGAAUGGGCUUCAAAGCAUGCACCCUUCCACACCAACGAUGUCCUUUCUUUCAAGUACAACGAUAAAAGUCAAUCCAAGACGAAGAAGCACAACAAUAACAAGAACGAUGUCUACUUGCUUCCAGACUUGAAGAGCUACAAGAGAUGCGAUGUGAGCAGAGCCAAGAAGCUAGUCGCAAGAGGAGCUAGGCUCAUCAUUAGGGUUUAAGUUGCUUCUCCGCAAGACUCCUGAGACCUACUACUUCGCUAGUGGAGACCACAAUGGCUGCAACCACAGCAUGAAGUUCUCUGUCUCCCCGAUUCCUCGUUCUUCUUCACACACUAAACCCUAAAUAUCACUUCACUACUUUGUUUCCUUGUUAGAUUCUGUUUGGUUUAUAUUUUUUUAAUUUGUUUCUUGUGCUUCAUGUCAACGAUGGAUUGAUUUAUUACAAAUUUAUUUGGAGAUAAUAAUGAUUUAUUAUAAUUUUAAUACACACACAAAAGAGGAUCAACGUAUAUAUAUAGUUACAUAUCGACUAAUAAAAAAUCUCAUCCUUUUGCGGCUUAAGCACACAAAUGUUAAAAGUUUCAAACUGUUUAAAUUCAUCACUUGACAAAACACUAAUCUUUCUAAGCUUCUUGCUGGAUUGCACGUCUGAGCCUAAGUCUAGUAUUAGCAUCUUCCUAACGCCCUGUCAAGACACCACCAUCCCCUGCAUCCUCACUGCUUUGGUUUUGGUGAGCCAAAACAGCUUCCCCAAAGUUAUGGAGCCUCCGACCAAUGAGGUAACGGUCGUCCCGGAUGGAGUUGUGAAGGUUUCUGAACCAAACAUGGCAUCUAUUUGCACAGAAGCAGACGAGACUCACCGAGAGACAACCUAUCCAAGCAUAUCUGUAGACGGCCGAGUUCACAACCAGUGGAUAUCCUAGCAUCGGGAACACUCCUCUUGCCAGAACAUAAGGCACACAUAAUGCUGUCAGAAGUUUCAUCACGAUUGGGAAUAAAAUUUCUCUAAAUACCCAUAACCCUUGAAGCCUUGAGAAUCUAUCUCCUUCUACUCUCUCAAACUUUGCUUUCCAACUAUCAUCCAGCAAUAUUAUCUGUCCAUUGUUGUCAUUUUUAGUGACAUGCUACGUUUGUCCCCCCAAAAAAGUGACAUGCUACAUAUUCUUUAUGCGAUACAAAAAAAAAAAGAGUACUAACCAAUGUUGACCAGAUUUUCAAAACGAUGAGCCCAAGAGGCCAGUCUUGAUACAGGAGGAAGACAGGGCUUUCAUCUACCGGGACUCUCAUUGGGACAAUCACCAAAAGCUCAAACACAAGUCCUAUUAGUACCGGAAUGACAAAAACCUGUUCAGGAAACCAUUUUCUAAUACACAACAUCAAAUGAGUUUUGUAGUAUUUUAAAAUUCUGAAAAGAAAAAAACAAUUCACUUACCCAUAUGGCUAACAGCACCGAGCUCUUGAAAACAAUCUCACACCAUUUCCAUAUUUCCUUUCUUGAAGUUCUUUUUGACUUGACAUGCUCGAUAGUAUACAUGGCCCCAGAUAUGGUAGUCCAAAAGGCAUAUGUGCCAAUGACGUAAGCAUACAGGUCUACAGAUUUAAGAGGAUAUCAUAUUAAAAUUGUCUAUCCCUUUACAAUAAAGAAGCACUAGAUCGAAUGUAACACACAUUACCAUUGUACUUGAUGAUGCCAUGCGUUAUAGGGAGAGUUGGUAUGGCAUUAAAUAGAGCACGUCCUACAGAAACUGGUACAACUAUCAAUGUCGUAUUGAAGAGAAGAAGAGUAAUCCAUGCAGCAAGUAGAAGAAGGACUAUCCGGAGCACAAAGUUGUACCUCCUGAAAUAUUUGGUUCAUUUCAGGGUAAGGCCUAAUGAAAAAUUUGAAGCUUGUUUCUUAAGUAACAACUUACUCUGAAUCAGAUUGUCCUCUGUUCUGCCUUCCUGGUUCGCCAUUUCCAUUGUCCUGGCCAACGUUGUCCUCCGGUCUUGGUAAGAGGAAGUCUGUCAAACCAAGCGCCCAGCCAACACAGGUGAACCAGAAGCGUACAAGGGACUCAACAGCGGUCCAGAGUCUAAAGUGCUCGAUGAUAAACUGUGUGCAUAUGGUGAACAGGAGCAUGCCAGCAGGGAUCUCAGUGAAUGGGUCGGAUACACUGUGUAGAUGCACAACUUAUUAAACACACUAAAUGUCAAAAAAAAAAAAAAGAAACAAGAUUCAAUCAUGCAAGACGACAUUGUGUACAUACACAAAGUUAGUAAACACACAACGUCUCCAAAAAACAAGAUGCAUGCCAACUUUCUUACGAUAUGUUAAGAGGGAAGAUUGAAGGUGCCAUCCUGAUCGCAAGUUUGACUGGCAAAAACACCAGCAAGACAAUCAAACUCCCAAGCUUUGCAGAAUCUAACAAAACAUUUCGAGCAAGCUUGUGCACUGGUUCUUCAAUAAAUAACUGGAAUGUGUCAUCCUCAUAUUCGGGAUCAUAAAAGAAAUUCAAAACUCCAGGGCGAAGAACCUGCACAAAAGUGGAAAAAAAUAUUAGAUAUUAGCAGAAAAGAAACCUUAAAUGAGGAGGGACCAUGGUACCUGUUGAAGAAGCUCCUCAAAUAUGAUUAUUUUCAAUAAGUACAAUAGUCCAACAACCCAGUGAACAAGUGAGCUCGCCAGUGGAGAAACCGAUAAAAACUCUACUCUAUGGGACAUUGUUUUACCAAACACCUUAACCGUGCAAACAUCUAACAACCACCCGCACAUCAAGGGGACGACACCAAGCAUUAAGACAAACACGACACCACCAUAGAACUGCCUAAGGAGAGGUGGUAUUGUUUCUACUAUUGAAGCAACACCACCGUAGAAUCUUCCAGCGGUCAGUGGCUCACCCUUGAGGUAUUGAAUCAAGGGAAUGAGUCCAAGGUAAAUGAACACAAGACAGUCUCCAAACAUGUGCCCAUCAGUGCAAGUUGUAGCAACGUAUAGCUUUGGUGGUCCAGCUCCAGCAACAAAACAUUUCAAAAGAUGAGAUACUAGUCCAUUUUCUUGUCCCUCGUGAGUCAAAUUUGAGACCGAAGCAGGGCCUCUAGCAUCAGCAAAAACACACAACACAUGAUAUAAUAUAAACCGUCCUAGUGUGAAGGGCACAAAGAUGACAACACCAAGGAAUAUCAUAUUGCUUGCCAGAACCUGCAAAGUUAUGCACAUACAUAUAAGAUUUUUUAAAUGAGAAAAGGACGAAACAUGAUUCAACUUACAGGAAAGGCCGCAUUAUCAUACACCGGACCAUGCAUUCCAAACCGCACGUAAAAUUGAAAGUACAUUCGCAAAUGCCUAAAGUAGUCCCUCAAUGUGGCAGCUCCACUGAGGAUGAAGAUGAUAGUUGUUGAUAGUAAGAAACCAAGCAAACAAUCGGCUAGGACAACUACGGUGGACAUGUGGCUUAAGAACAGUCUCUGAGCUUCACCAAAACUCUGAACAAAAGCCAAUCUCCAUGUCCAAAACGUAAUGAAAGGAAUAGUGAGAAACCAGACCGAAAGCACUAAACACAACCGAAGAAAGACGUGCAGAGCACGGCAACUGCAAACUUUCAUCCCAAUGCCAACAACAAACUCAUUGAAAGGGAGUCUUGUAGGAGCGUGUUCAGCAUAAAGCGGAGAGAAUGAAAAACGAUGCUUGCAAACCUCGCAUUGAUGAGCUUUGCAGUAGCUAAGCCAUUGAAGGAGGCAAUCUUGGUGCACAAACUUGAUGCUUCCCCUGCAGGCGCAUGGAUAUUGAAGAGGGUUGUCUGUAUCCCCUGGAGUUCUGCAGAUCCUGCAAACGUCCUCAUCACCUUCUUCAUCAUCAAUGUACCUCGCCGUUGCAGUUGUGUGAGCCAUGGUGGAGUAAGCGGUGGGAGGAGGCCUAAACCCUUAACAUUGUAAGAAUAAAAAGGUAAAAAAGGGUUAUACUUUUCUUUUUACCUCGAAAAAUAAAAAAAGGAGUCCAGACGAGGUAGUCCAAGUGGCAGGACGGGCCUGUGGUGGCAACCACCAUCCGGGUUCGAUUUCCUCCUCAUGCGGAUAUAGAUGGCAAUCGUUUACUCGGUUCUUCUUCGUCUUUUUUUUUUUUUUUUUUUAACUAAAAAAAAAAACCAAAACAAAAAACCCCAAAAAAAAAAAAAAAAAAAAAAAAAAAAAAAAAAAAAGGAAAUUUGUAUUUUCUUCUUGAACAUUUACUACAACCUUGCUCGGCAAGGCGUAAUUAUUCUGUCUUUUGAUUUUUUUUAAAAUUAGUUAUGAUGAAUCCAAAAUUUUAGUUAAAAAUUAUAUAUAGUGGUUACAUAAAUAUUAUGUUGUGUUGUAGAAGUUUCUCUUAAUUCAAUUAAUGGUUUGAUUAAUGAUUAGCUAAUGCUUUUAUAUCUGGAAUCUGAAUUUCGAAUCCUAGAAAAUGUGAUCUCUAUAAUAUUAUUUGAGAAACCAGUUUUUUCUUUAUGUAUCCGCUCACGUUAAUUCUUACAACGAUUAUUUACAGAGCUACCCUUAAUGAAUUAAAAUAUUGAAUCUAAAUACUAUUUUUUUAGUUUCCAUUUUAAUUUUUUCAAAUAACAUAUAUAAUAAAAAAGAAACAUUUAUAAACUUUAGAAACGAAUUUAAAAAUGAAAAUAUAUGUGUAUAUAUAAUAUGAUUUCAUUAAAAAUGAAAGUUCACAAUAUAGUAAUAUUACGUUUAAAACAUUUUUUACAAAAAAAAAAAUACUUUCAAUGUAAUAAAAAUAUUUUCUUUAUAUCUAUAUUUGGAAAUAUUGACAUUUUUAGAAAUAGGAAAGUUCACAAAAUAGUAAUCCUCCAACGUUUUGUUUUAUUUUUUUUGGAAAUAUUGACAUUUUUAGAAAUAACAAAUUAAAAAUAUGUUUGUCGUAUUCUAAUUGGUUGUUUUAAAUCCUAUGUAGACGCUUUCAAUGACUUAUGUGUCCUCAACUUUUAUACAAAGUUUUGCAUUUUCUGAAUUAAUUAUUAUUUGGUAUUUUAUUUGGGAAAAUUUUAUGUUUACCACUUUCAUAGUACCACUUUUCAUCUUUACCACCACUAAAGAGAUAUUUUCAAAAAUAUCUUCUUCAUUAAGUGGCAAAAGAAUCUUAUACUCUUAUUAUCUAUAUAUAUAAUAAAUCAUUAUUUAAAUAAAUAAAAAAUAUUUAAAAAAAUAUUUUUAUUUUUUAUGUUUUCGAAUUAUACUUUUUCAAAUUCUAACUUUUUAUAUAAAAAAAAAUUUGAUUUGUUUUUCGAAUUUUUUUUUUUUUUUCAAAAUUUCUUUAGUUACUGAAAACGUAGAGACUCUAGAUUACAUAUUCAAUUCAUGUUGGGACACAUCUACUCUCAACCUAAGUUAUGGUUUAGGUCUCGUCAUUAGAGAAUGUAGGGGCCUCCCAGAACCUCUUAGUCAUAAAUAUAAGAAUAGUGUGAUAUAGAAAUUGUCAAUUGCUUGAGCUUUCUCUUUGUGUUGUCAAAUGAAGUGACUUUUAAAAACAUAACUUGCUGUAGACAGUAAUUAGUAACGUUCGUGUGUAAUAUAUCUCCAUAUGCACAAUGGGAUCGACUUACGAGUAAAGUUGUUGUUGCACGGCAUGUAUUCAUUCAUCAAAGAUGUUGCUGCCACUAAACCUCAAUGCAUCUUCAUCACUGACUCAAAUUCUUCAAGCAAGAGGUUAAAUAGUGCUCAAUCUUAAAUGACUAAUGUUUUUGCGACAACAUAUGGUUCAUUCUUCGUUUUAGGCCUAGGCAUUUCGGGUAUCGGUUCGGGUAUUUCGGGUUUUGGGUAGUUCGGAUAGAGGCUAGAGGAUCCAUUUAGUACUUGACCUAUUUUCGGUUCGGUUCGGUUCGGUUCGGUUCGGAUAGUUUCGGGUUCGGUUCGGUUCGGAUAGUAAAUGUAGAAACCGGAAAAUAUCCGGAAAAAGUUCGGUUCUCAUUUAGAUCCGGUUCGGGUUCGGAUAGUUCGGGUAGUUCGGAUAAUUUGGAUAAAAUAUCGGUUAUUUAGGGUAAAAUAUCAAAUAAUUAGGAUGAUUUAGAUAAAAAAUUUGGAUAUUUCGGAUUACUUUGGAUAUUUCGGAUAAAACUACCUGGAUAGUUUCGGAUACUUUCGGGUAGUUUGGAUACUUUAUAAUAAUUUAGUUAUCCUCAACUAUUUUGAGAUACUUUUAAUAGAAUUUUAAAUUAAAAAUAUAUAUUUAGUGAUGUUAUAUGUAUAUAUAAUUAAUAUUUUUAUAUAUUCGGGUACCCGUUCUGUUCUCGGUUCGGUUCCGGUUCGGUUCGGUUAUUUCGGAUAUAAAAAUAUAGGAACCGUUCGGGUAUUUGAGGGUAUUAGUCCGGUUCCGGUUUCGGGUAUUUCGGUUCGGUUCUUCGGUUCCGGUUAUUUUGCCCAGGUCUACUUCUUUAAUCUAACAUCCUGUAAUAUGUUUAACUACGGAUUAGAUAUGUGAAGUAUAAUUCUAUGGAAAAAUGCGACGUAUCUCUUCUUACGGUUUUGAUCUUAAACUAUUUUGUCUGCUCUCUUUUGACAAAUGAAAUCCCCCAAAAUAACAAGUACAUCACUAAUCUUUGUUUUAGUUACGUAGCUGAAAGUCUGAAAUUACCUAACUGUGUUUAGUAUUUCAAAAACUGAUGACCCAAGACUUCCUACUUUGUGCUUUUCUUUCUCUCACUAUAUAAUAAAUUGACAAUGUUAACAAAGACUUUUCAACUUAAGUGUAUGAUGAUCAUUGAUUUAGAAUAACACCAUUUUAGGGGGAAAGUCAUUCACGUUCAUGUGGACAGAUGGUAAAGAGUCCAACACGUUUUGUUCUUUAUAGGUUCCUCUUGUAAUAACUAUGGAGAUAAGCUAAUCCUAUUAAUCUGCAUCACGCCAUAGUAACCAUUUUGUCUAUUAAAAUGCAAAAGUUCUUCUCUCUUUUUUUACUCUCACUUAGAUCUCUUUACAAAAAUUAAAUGAGUGAUAUAUUCUUUUAGAUGUUGUAUCAUAAAGUAAAAACAAACGAAACAAGAAAGGCAGGGUACAUUAUUUCUUUGUUCAGAAGAAAAGCAAAAACAAAAGACAAUGGAGAUAUUACUUAACAAAAUACAAAGGGAGUGGUCCAAUUUGGUGGUAGUUGGUGAAAAUGCAUUUGAAAGGUAGGGUACUAGAGAGAGAAGAAUUGAACCACUUGGGACAAACUCAUAGGGUUGGGGGUAUUCCAUAUCAAUCAACUGAUCCGACGGCAGAUAGUGAUUCCAUCACCAACCGGGAGCAUGCAAAUCUCAAUCCUAGGGUCAGCAGCAAGAGCCUUGUUAAGCUCAAGAACAAA